UAUAAAGCAGAGUCCUGCUAGGCACAUUUUGUAUACAUGCAAAGAUGCAGAACUAAACAGUUCCAUCUGUUCAAUAUUAAAACAAAAGUCCUUUAAACCUUGGAUGGUGAGUGUAAUACUUCAGCACUAGCAACAAAGCCUCAAAUAUGAAAAGAUACCAAGAUCGCCACUAGCAAACAAAACUAAACUCUCAGCCGGGAGCAGUAGUUCACACCUGUAAUCCCAGCACUUUGGCAAGCCAAGGUGGGAGGAUUACUUGAAGUCAGGAGUUCAAGACCAGGCUGGUCAGCAUAGCGAAUUCACAUCUCCACAAAAAAAAUUUAAAAAUUAGCUGGGCAUGGUGGUACACACUUGUAGUCCUAGCUAUUUGGCAUGCUGAGGUGGGAAAAUUGCUUGAGCCCAGGAGUUUAAGCCUGCAGUAGCUAUGAUUAUGGCACUGUACUGCCUGGGUGACAGAACGAGACUUAAAUACACUCUCUCCUGCUCCUGUUUACACUAAAAUCACUAAGUUAAAAUGUUUUCAAAUUUGGCAGGAUGAAAAUUAAGUGAAAUGUGACUUUGGAGCUUGGCUAGCAAAAGGAAAGGAAAGGAAAGGAAAGGAAAAAAAGAAAAGAAAGAAAAAAGAAAGCGAGAAAGGAAAUCAAGUGAAAUGACAAACUACUUACUGGGAGAAAGUUUUUGUAACCUCAGUGACAGAUAAAAGCAGUGGUUGGUAAAUUUCAACAUCUGUAUAUCCCUGUGUCUUUGCACCUGCUGGUCUCUGCUUGGAAUAUCUCAAGGUUUUAUUCACCUGGAAAAAAUUUCUACUCACCCUUAAAGAAUCAGCUUAAAUAGGUCGGUGUGGUGACUCAUGACUGUAAUCCCAGCACUUUGGGAGGCAAAGGUGGGUGGAUCACCUGAGGUCACUAGUUCCAGACUAGCCUAUCCAACAUGUUGAAA
rnacentral:lncRNA from 1 species